UAAAUUACCAUUGCAAGAUUAUGGCUUGUGCAAUUUGGGCAAUAUGGACAACAAGAAAUAAACCAAUUCAUGAAUGGAACAGACGAACAAUUCAAGACACAACCCAUUUGAUCAUUUCAUAUAUUCGAGAAUUAGAUGCAAUCAACCAAAAAUUGCUUGCUAGGAGGGUGGAGACUGAACAAUAGAGGCCGUCAGAGAUUCUUUUUGCAAAGAUUAAUUAUGAUGUUACUUUUUAAAACCAUACAAAUAGGUCAUGUACGGAUAUUGUGGUUAAAAACUUGAAUGGUUUGGUGUUAGGAUCCAGAAUGAUACUAAAUAAUCACAUACCUGCGACUUUUGCUGUGAGGCUUUUGCAUGCUUCCAAGCAGUUCAAAUGGGUCUUGAUUUGGGUUUCCCGAAGGUGGAGAUUGAAGGAGAUGCACUCAAAGUGGUGAAAAAGCUUCAUGCAAAUAGACAUGCACCGAGACAGGGGAACGGAGUAGCACAUCUCUUAGCUACAGAAGGAAUAAGGAGAGGAGAAACAACUUAUUAGUUAGAAGAAAUGCCUCUGUUUGUUACUGAUGCAGUGCAGAGAGACCGAUGGUUGACAGACGUGCUAGAUUAUACUGUGAUUUCGUUGGUUGCUUGAAGAUAGUCCCUAAAAUCUGCUUAAUCUUAAGGGACGAUGAUGAUUCAGACAAACUGCUAUUUUCAUUGCUUUCUAUGCUUCGAAAGGAACUUUAGAACUCAUUUAUUUUGGUUGGGUUUCUUUUAAUUAGGAUUGGGGAAUAUUUCAUUUUUUGUGUACUUUUCUAUAUUUGUCUUAUUGUUUGAAAAUUUGUUCUCUUAUUUAAUAACAAAAUUAA